GAACCCAGGAGGUGGAGCUUGCAGUGAGCCGAGAUGGUGUCACUGCACUCCAGCCUGGGCUACAGAGCAAGACACCAUCUCAAAAAAAAUAAAUAAAUAAAGAAUAUUCAAGUGAUUACAUGAUUACAGAGGUCAUGACAUUGAUUGGCCCUGUUGUGAAGGAAAUGUACUUCUGUCAUCCCACUUGACUCAGCCAGGAGUAAUAUUUGCAAAAUAAUGUAAACUCUGUUUCUUGAAUUUCAGCAUUUAGGAAUAACAUGGAUGGUUGAACCCAUGGAUACAGAGGGCCAACUGCACAUACAAUGAAUGCUUGAAGUGCACUGAUCUUCAGUGAACAGCUCACUGACUCUUUACAGGUGUGUAUACUAGAGCAGCUAUCACUCAGAUGGAGACAUAGAACAUCACCAGCACCCCAAAACAUUUCCUCAUGCUCCUUCCCCAUCGAUCCACCUCUUCCUAGAAAUAAUCCCUAUUCUAACUUCUAUCACCAUUGAUCUGUUUUGCCUGUUCUUGAUCUUCAGAUAAAUCAAAAAGUAUAUUUUCUUGUGUUUGUCUUUUUUCACCAAACAUAAUGAAAAUUAUUUCUAUUGCUGCUACCUCAGUAGUUUAUUCUUUUUAUUGCAGUGUGGUAUUCCAUCAUAUGACUAGUCUAGAAACUGGGUUUUGCCAUGUUGUCCAUGCAGGUCUCAAACUCGUGAGCUCAAGCGAUCCGCCCACCUCAGACUCCAAAGUGCUGAAAUUAUAGGCAUGAGCCACCAUGCCUGGUCAGCAUUGGGGAGUUUCAAGAACUAUUCCAGCAAAGGAGGGGAACUUCACCACCGCUGCAUGUCCUAGCCUUGGAAGUCAGGCAGCAUUGCUUCUGCUGUGUUCUCUUUGUUACAAAUAUUGAAAAUUUGCUACCUGCACCUGCUGUGUUCCCACCCUCUGGAGACCUGGGAACCUGGCUGCAGCCUGGGAAGGCUGGAGAAGCAGAUGGCAGCACCCACCAGCUCCUCUCCCUGUCCCACCUCUUCCCUGGGGAACCAGACCCUACCUGUGUGGUGGUGGGUGGGCUGAUUGUCAAGACAUGUGUCAUAUACAUUUUUAUCAAAAAUAAAGAAGUGACUAUGAAAAAAAAGAAAAUUUGAAAAGAUUAAAUUUUUAGAAAGGUGAUUGUAGAAAAUGUGGAAAAACUAGAAGAGAAUACAAAGGAAUAAAGUAUUAUUUGUAAUCCUGCCACCUAGAAAGAGCCACUGUAAACAGUUUGGUCUAUUAUCUUCUUGUCGAAAUUAAAAUAGACAGUUCUGUGUCUUGCCUUUCCCUUUU
rnacentral:lncRNA from 10 species